rnacentral:rRNA from 1 species
AUAUUGGACAAUGGGGUCAACCCUGAUCCACUCCUGCCGCGUGUGUGCAGAAGGUCUNNNGACUGNACAGCACUGUAAGUUGGNAGGNUGUGCUUUUGGUUAAUACCCUGAAGUUUUGACGUUACCAUCAGAAUAAUCCCCGGCUAUCUCUGUUCCAGCAGCCGCGGUAAUACUGAGGGUGCAAGCGUUAAUCGGCAUUACUGGGCGUAAAUCGCGCGGAGGUGGUUCAGUAAGAUGGGUGUGAAAUCCCCGGGCUUAACCUGGGAACUGCUUUCAUAACUGCUGAGCGAGAGUACGGUAGAGGGUAGUGGAAUUUCCUGUGUAGCGGUGAAAUGCGUAGAUAUAGGAAGGAACACCAGUGGCGAAGGCGACUACCUGGACUGAUACUGACACUGAGGUGCGAAAGCGUGGGGAGCAAACAG